CACAUUCACAUUUGUGUGCUUCCAAAUGAGUGUGUGAUGUAUCACAAUCAAACCAAAGUAGAAAAUACCAACUAUUGCAAAUUAAUUUAGUUUUCUUGAACAAUAGUAGGGAUAGUCGAUUUUUGGUGACUUAAUCGUUAUCUGUCAUUUGCGUGUUGGAAAAGGUUCAAAUUGCAACUUGACAUUACAAGUAAAUUAGAAAGUAUAUGAAGAGUAGUUUAUUCAGUGUGACAAAUUUAACAGCGUAAAUAAAAUUGGACGAUUAAAAACUAAUGUAUUUAAAAAUAAAUUCCGGCGUAUAUUCAAUGAGAGCAUUACUUGUCAAAUAAUUUAUUUCCAGCAGAAAUGUUUGAAUUUAAUUGUGCUUCAAAUUUGCCACAAUACGCUCUUUUUUGCAUUUUUUAGUCAAUAAAACACUCAAACAGACAAGGCGUGCGUUUUUCUUCACUACCAGGACCCAGAAACUUCGCAUUAACUCUAGCAAUAGAGGCAUACAGUUAUCUAUUGGAAUUUUUGAAAACAAUAGGAGUCCAGAAAUUGCAGACCCAUAUCUUGGUCCCGAGCGAACCUAUUAAUCGAGGAUUAACUGUACUUACAUAGGUAAAGUACUAAUGACUACAAGUUGAUUUAGUCGAAACGGUAAACUACUCGACAAUAAACAAGGGUUAUAAAUAUCUACUAUCUGUAAUAGAUACAUUUCCAAACAUGCCUCGGCAGAAGCAAUUUAAUCGAAAAAAGCUUGUUAUGUGUCAAAAGCGUUUCAAAAAAUUCUUAGUAGUGGGCUGAUACUAAAAAAUUUACAAACAGAUAAUGGAAAAGAAUUUUUAAUUCAGUCUUUAAAAACUUAUGGAAAAGUAUUCAAUUAAUAACUACUCAACCUAUAACGCAAUGAAGGCAUCGAUUGUGGAAUGUUUUGAUCGAAAAUGUCAUGUGAUGAAUUGAAAGAAACUCCUAAGACUGUAGUUGAUGUUAGUCAUCAAAAUGAGACAAUUAAAGCCGAAACUUUAGAUGUUAAAAUUGAAUUUGAAACCAGCCAACCCAUUCCUAAAAAUACUUCGGCAUAUUGUUUAAAAUACACUAUUGCUUCAUCGGAUACUCACCUUUGACUGGAACUGGUUGAAAAAUUAUAUAACAAAUUUUUAU
rnacentral:sRNA from 1 species